AGUGAACGCUGGCGGUAGGCCUAACACAUGCAAGUCGAACGGCAACACAGGAGAGCUUGCUCUCUGGGUGGCGAGUGGCGGACGGGUGAGGAAUACAUCGGAAUCUACUCUGUCGUGGGGGAUAACGUAGGGAAACUUACGCUAAUACCGCAUACGACCUACGGGUGAAAGCAGGGGACCCUCGGGCCUUGCGCGAUUGAAUGAGCCGAUGUCGGAUUAGCUAGUUGGCGGGGUAAAGGCCCACCAAGGCGACGAUCCGUAGCUGGUCUGAGAGGAUGGUCAGCCACACUGGAACUGAGACACGGUCCAGACUCCUACGGGAGGCAGCAGUGGGGAAUAUUGGACAAUGGGCGCAAGCCUGAUGCAGCCAUGCCGCGUGUAUGAAGAAGGCCUUCGGGUUGUAAAGUACUUUCAGCGGGGAGGAAGGCGGUGAAGUUAAUAACUUCACCGAUUGACGUUACCCGCAGAAGAAGCACCGGCUAACUCCGUGCCAGCAGCCGCCGUAA
rnacentral:rRNA from 1 species